CACUUUCGUCUUUCAAGCUUAGAAACCCUAGAGACCAGCCGCAUUAAAAACCCCCACCGCCUCCGCGGUAGUCCGCCGACCGAAAAUUGCCUCACGGUGGCAGACCACCUCCAAACACCACCAAAAGCACACCCUAGAAUCCCUGUCUUCUUCUCUUUCCAAAUCCCAAAACGGCUUCCCUAAAAUCCCCACCAAGAUCCUCGAAUUUCAGAUUUGAAUACCAAACCCGAAAACGCCCAAAUGGCUUCAAAACUUCACCAAACAACCACCACCUCCCCCUAACCCCAUAUCUCCACUCUGUUUCAUCAUAAAAUCAUCAAAUCCUUUAAAUUCCAGAUCUGAGAAACCUCCAAAGCCCUCGAUUUUGCCCUUUUUACCUCACCGACGUUUUUCAAGAGUUUGACCCAAACAUUAGUCAAUCGUUCUUGACAAGACCGACCAAUUAUUGUUGAUUUUGGGUCAUUUUCAAAACUCUCUGAAGUAUGGUUCGUUGGCAGCAACCGGCCAGAUUCUCCAAGUCCCAUUGGUUCAUUACAAUAGAAUAGGUAUUCUCACUAAAGCCAAAAACAUGGUUAUAACAUGGUGGCAGGAAAAUAAAAAGCUCCAGAUCUAUUUUUGUUUAAUAUUUUUUUCCUUAUUUUUCCUUUGUUUGUAAUGUUCCUCCCACUUAUUUGAGUUAGUUUACCCUUAAAUUUGAUGUCCACUGCUGUCAAUCAUGGUAUUUGAGUGUUGAAAGCCUGAGUUAGUUUUAGAAGUUUCUUUAUAUUUUACUAGGCAACUUCAGCUAUCCCUACAAGUGUAAUAUGUGAUACUGCAUUUAAAACUUGCAAUUAUAAGCUGUCCAUAUGUGCUUAAGUGGUUUAA